rnacentral:lncRNA from 1 species
CCUACACUCUUUCAAGUCCUUUCUCCCAAUAUUCAUUAACAGGCUUGGAUGGUGUGCACUCUUUGAGUCAGUUGUUUCCUAUUCAAUUCACAUGAUGAGUGAACUGAACCACACAACACAAUUCCUUUUCCCAGGUUUAGAUGACUGAAACACAAUGAAGGAGAAAAUUUUCUUAACUUGGAAGAGUUUUAGCUUAUGUCAAAGGGAUUAGCAAAGGGGUUUGUCAACAUACACAGAUCUCCACUUGUUGGGAUAUGUGUGAGCUAAAACCCCACAAGUCAAAGCAAAGCAAAAGAAGCAACAUGGCCAGGAAGUGUUUUUGUGCAACCAGAGCAGUUUGAAGCACUGUGCACACCCUGAGCUGAUCAGGAGGUAUAAAUAACCCUCCUCAUGGGAUGCAUUUGGCCAGAGAAACCAUGGUGGGCAGAGUCAAAGUGUAUAGGGAAUGUGAAAGAGUUACAGGGUCAAAGGCUCAGAUAAACAUCCUAACACUUAGAUACUAACAUGGAUGCUCUCCAAAGUUCUCCAAACCAUCUGGGCCCAGCUCAUUCACCUCAUGGUGUCAUGAGAAAUGGUUUUCUCACAAGGCUGCUGAUGCUUCCUCUUGUUUGACAGGCAGGAAAUACAACCCAAUGAGCCUUUCUCACCAGAGUUCAUAAUUUUAGGUAGGAGAGAGAAUUAGAAAGCGCAGAGGCAGAAUGUAAAACAGUGUGCUGAGGCUGGGAUGUGGGGGAAGAAGGGAUACUGAGAAGGAAAGUCAAUCAAGUUCUCUAAUGCCACAGAAACAUGCCAGGUUUGAAAGGUAUCAGCACAUGUGGGGAUGGGAUGCUGUGCCAGGUAGCAGCAGGAUGUGCUUCUGCAAGAGGAACUCAGCCCAUUCAGUGGUCCAGUCCAGUGGAAGAGGAGUGUGGCUACAAGAUGUGUGGAGAGCAGAAUGCUGCAAGGAAUGAAGAAAAUAAGAAUUGGAGUAAAUGGAGUGAAGGCUGUAUGGGCUGGUCACUAGUGUUCACUGGAAG